UGGGGAAUUUUGGACAAUGGGGGCAACCCUGAUCCAGCCAUGCCGCGUGUGCGAAGAAGGCCUUCGGGUUGUAAAGCACUUUUGGCAGGAAAGAAACGGCGCCGGCUAAUAUCUGGCGUAACUGACGGUACCUGCAGAAUAAGCACCGGCUAACUACGUGCCAGCAGCCGCGGUAAUACGUAGGGUGCAAGCGUUAAUCGGAAUUACUGGGCGUAAAGCGUGCGCAGGCGGUUCGGAAAGAAAGAUGUGAAAUCCCAGGGCUCAACCUUGGAACUGCAUUUUUAACUCCCGAACUAGAGUGUGUCAGAGGGGGUGGAAUUCCACGUGUAGCAGUGAAAUGCGUAGAUAUGUGGAGGAACACCGAUGGCGAAGGCAGCCCCCUGGGAUAACACUGACGCUCAUGCACGAAAGCGUGGGGAGCAAACAGGAUUAGAUACCCUGGUAGUCCACGCCCUAAACGAUGUCAACUAGCUGUUGGGUUCUUCGGAGCUUGGUAGCGCAGCUAACGCGUGAAGUUGACCGCCUGGGGAGUACGGUCGCAAGAUUAAAACUUAAAUGAAUUG
rnacentral:rRNA from 1 species